GACGAACGCUGGCGGCGUGCUUAACACAUGCAAGUCGAGCGGUAAGGCCCUUCGGGGUACACGAGCGGCGAACGGGUGAGUAACACGUGGGUGACCUGCCUCUAGCUCUGGGAUAAGCCUGGGAAACUGGGUCUAAUACCGGAUAUGACUCCACGGCGCAUGUUGUGGGGUGGAAAGCCUUGUGUGGCUAGAGAUGGGCCCGCGGCCUAUCAGCUUGUUGGUGGGGUGAUGGCCUACCAAGGCGACGACGGGUAGCCGGCCUGAGAGGGCGACCGGCCACACUGGGACUGAGACACGGCCCAGACUCCUGCGGGAGGCAGCAGUGGGGAAUCUUGCGCAAUGGGCGAAAGCCUGACGCAAGCGACGCCGCGUGAGGGAUGACGGCCU
rnacentral:rRNA from 1 species